GACGAACGCUGGCGGCGUGCCUAAUACAUGCAAGUAGAACGCACAGUUUAUACCGUAGCUUGCUACACCAUAGACUGUGAGUUGCGAACGGGUGAGUAACGCGUAGGUAACCUGCCUGGUAGCGGGGGAUAACUAUUGGAAACGAUAGCUAAUACCGCAUAAUAUUAAUUAUUGCAUGAUAAUUAAUUGAAAGGUGCAAUUGCACCACUACCAGAUGGACCUGCGUUGUAUUAGCUAGUAGGUGAGGUAACGGCUCACCUAGGCGACGAUACAUAGCCGACCUGAGAGGGUGAUCGGCCACACUGGGACUGAGACACGGCCCAGACUCCUACGGGAGGCAGCAGUAGGGAAUCUUCGGCAAUGGACGAAAGUCUGACCGAGCAACGCCGCGUGAGUGAAGAAGGUUUUCGGAUCGUAAAGCUCUGUUGUAAGAGAAGAACGGGUGUGAGAGUGGAAAGUUCACACUGUGACGGUAUCUUACCAUAAAGGGACGGCUAACUACGUG
rnacentral:rRNA from 1 species